rnacentral:rRNA from 1 species
GAUGAACGCUGGCGGCGUGCCUAAUACAUGCAAGUCGAGCGAACAGAUGAGGAGCUUGCUCCUCUGACGUUAGCGGCGGACGGGUGAGUAACACGUGGAUAGCCUACCUAUAAGACUGGGAUAACUUCGGGAAACCGGAGCUAAUACCGGAUAAUAUAUUGAACCGCAUGGUUCAAUAGUGAAAGACGGUUUUGCUGUCACUUAUAGAUGGAUCCGCGCCGCAUUAGCUAGUUGGUAAGGUAACGGCUUACCAAGGCAACGAUGCGUAGCCGACCUGAGAGGGUGAUCGGCCACACUGGAACUGAGACACGGUCCAGACUCCUACGGGAGGCAGCAGUAGGGAAUCUUCCGCAAUGGGCGAAAGCCUGACGGAGCAACGCCGCGUGAGUGAAGAAGGUCUUCGGAUCGUAAAACUCUGUUAUUAGGGAAGAACAAAUGUGUAAGUAACUAUGCACGUCUUGACGGUACCUAAUCAGAAAGCCACGGCUAACUACGUG